rnacentral:rRNA from 1 species
CCUACGGGAGGCAGCAGUGAGGAAUAUUGGUCAAUGGGCGCGAGCCUGAACCAGCCAAGUAGCGUGAAGGAUGACUGUCCUACGGGUUGUAAACUUCUUUUAUAAAGGAAUAAAGUGAGGCACGUGUGCCUUUUUGUGUGUACUUUAUGAAUAAGGAUCGGCUAACUCCGUGCCAGCAGCCGCGGUAAUACGGAGGAUUCGAGCGUUAUCCGGAUUUAUUGGGUUUAAAGGGAGCGUAGAUGGGUUGUUAAGUCAGUUGUGAAAGUCUGCGGCUCAACCGUAAAAUAGCAAUUGAUACUGGCAGCCUUGAGUACAGUUGAGGUAGGCGGAAUUCGUGGUGUAGCGGUGAAAUGCUUAGAUAUCACGAAGAACUCCGAUUGCGAAGGCAGCAUACUAACCUGCGACUGACAUUGAUGCUCGAAAGUGUGGGUAUCAAACAGGAUUAGAUACCCUUGUAGUC